GAUGAACGCUGGCGGCGUGCCUAAUACAUGCAAGUCGAGCGAACGGACGAGAAGCUUGCUUUUCUGAUGUUAGCGGCGGACGGGUGAGUAACACGUGGAUAACCUACCUAUAAGACUGGGAUAACUUCGGGAGACCGGAUCUAAUACCGGAUAAUAUUUUGAACCGCAUGGUUCAAAAGUGAAAGACGGUCUUGCUGUCACUUAUAGAUGGAUCCGCGCUGCAUUAGCUAGUUGGUAAGGUAACGGCUUACCAAGGCAACGAUGCAUAGCCGACCUGAGAGGGUGAUCGGCCACACUGGAACUGAGACACGGUCCAGACUCCUACGGGAGGCAGCAGUAGGGAAUCUUCCGCAAUGGGCGAAAGCCUGACGGAGCAACGCCGCGUGAGUGAUGAAGGUCUUCGGAUCGUAAAACUCUGUUAUUAGGGAAGAACAUAUGUGUAAGUAACUGUGCACAUCUUGACGGUACCUAAUCAGAAAGCCACGGCUAACUACGUG
rnacentral:rRNA from 1 species